rnacentral:rRNA from 1 species
CAGUAACGGCGAGUGAAGCGGCAACAGCUCAAUUUGAAAUCUGGCCCUAGGGUCCGAGUUGUAAUUGGCAGAGGAUGCUUUUGGCGAGGGUCCUUCCAAGUUCCUUAGAUAGGACGCCGCAGAGGGUGAGAGCCCCGUACGGUUGGCCCCCGAGCCUGUGUAAAGCUCCUUCGACGAGUCGAGUAGUUUGGGAAUGCUGCUCUAAUUGGGAGGUAAAUUUCUUCUAAAGCUAAAUACCGGCCAGAGACCGAUAGCGCACAAGUAGAGUGAUCGAAAGAUGAAAAGCACUUUGAAAAGAGGGUGAAACAGUACGUGAAAUUGUUGAAAGGGAAGCGCUUGUGACCAGACCUGCGCCCGGUGAAUCAUCCAGCCCCGGCUGGUGCACUUCUCCGGCGUAGGCCAGCACCGGUUCGCCGCGGGGGAGAAAGACGGUGGGAAUGUAGCUCCUCGGAGUGUUAUAGCCCGCCGUGUAAUGCCCUGAGACGGACCGAGGUACGCGCUCUGCAAGGGUGCUGGCGUAAAUGGUCAUCAGCGGCCCGUCUUGAAACACGGACCAAGGAGUCGUCCUCGUAUGCGAGUGUUCGGGUGUAAAACCCUUGCGCGUAAUGAAAGUGAACGCAGGUGAGAGCUUCGGCGCAUCAUCGACCGAUCCUGAUGUUCUCGGAUGGAUUGAGUAAGAGCAUAUGGGCCGGACCGAAAGAGGUGAA